GUCUUGAGCUCCUCAUAGCAUGCGAAAUGCAGGCUCAUAUUUUACUGAGUUGCCUGCAUUUCAGCAGUGGAUUUAAGCAACCUCUGUGUAAAAUAUUGCAGCAUGCUGAGCCCAUUUUGUACAGAGGAGAGAAAGAGUCUGUUCAGCACAAUUAAACCACCUACACACAGACUUACCAAGCAGAAAACAAAGAAUAAGGAAGAAAACAUCCGCCACCACCUGAGAAAUUGAUAUGAAGGAGCUCUGAUAACAAAUCGGUCACCAGCUAUGGGAUGGGGUGUGGUGCAAGUGCCUCUCCAGAUACAGAGGUCCCUAAAGAAGAGGACAGAGGUGAGCAGCCAAUCCUCAGAACAGCUGGAGGGUGGGGGAUGGAUAUAGUCCCACAAAGGGAUCUGGUGACACCUCACGGCAUCCACCAUGGCUCCCGUCUCCUUCCAAAUCUGAAUGAUGAAACCUUAUAGAAUGCAGUGCUAGGUUCUUUGUAACUGAAAUGAUUUCACUUUCUUUUUUUCUUUAUUCAACUUUAGUUCAAAGAAGUGACCACUCACAUCACAGAACUCUCUGAGGCAUGCUGGGCUAAUUGACUCUAUUGAGAUAUCCUUUGUUAUGAUAAAAAUCUUCUAUUCCCCCAUACAGAUGGUACCAGCCAAGAGGAAAGUCACUCGUGCCUGUGGUCAAGCUUCAGGCAAUCCCAGUGACCUUGUGCUGCCUUAACUCACCCCUGUCUCCUGGGAAGAGGUGCAGAAGGGAAAAGUGCUUGGGCCUUCCUCUCAGUGACACCACUCCCCUCUUUGUGUCACUGCCUUGCUUUUGGGCUCAGCGUCAUUAAAGCACUGCUGCACCUUAGUGCACACACUCCUUUCUAGGUCACUGAGACAUGAAGUGAACAUCAUUUGUAAUAUUCAUAUUUUUCUCUGAGAACUGGCAGGGGGGUGGAGAAGGGCAAGAGUGGGAGCAGUGUCUGCUGGGAGGGUGGAGAAUUAAUUUGCAUUAAUUUCUCACCCUGUUAACUGGUGUGUCACUUCUCUACUCACACAGCCUCCAGUGUGGAUUUAGCAAUUACUUAGCUCAGUAGAGAUAAUGUACCCCAUAAAAUGGCAGAGACACUGGCCAGGGCUGGGCCCAGGAAUUCAGUAUGGAUAAUAUUCUAAUUCUGUAUGACAAGGUAAGGCACAAACAAGUUAGCCAUAUUUUUCUCUGAAAACUAUAUAUAUCUUACUAGGUAUAUCACAAUGUAUUAUAUAGACAUACCUAUGUAUGUUUAUAUAUUUCCAUAAAGUUUUCUUAUCUUAUUUUUGGUCUUUUCCUUUCCACUGGACUCUAAGCCUCAUGAGGGUAAAGGUUUUGCCUAUUUGUUCACUGUUGUAACUCCAGCACCUAGAACAAUGUUUGCCCGAUAGUGGACACUUUGUAAGUAUUUGUUGAAUACCUAAAUCCAUAUUAAGAUCAACUCUUAGGUUUGAAUUCGUCUAGAAAUUUGGGGGAUGUUGGAUUAUAUGUUCCAUUUUUAAAACAAGAUGUUUAUAAUCAAGUGACACGAUUUUAAAAGAACAUCAUUUUAGUUGAGGUGCCAGUAAAAUGCGUGAAUGCUUUAUGCUAAAAAAAAUUGGGUUACGUGGCCUCUUACCUUCUGACUCAUCGUUCUGCUUUCUUUUUCUUAGCUUUACCAUAAAUUUGAAUCUGUAAUUUCUGCUUUGAUCAAUUUGAUGUAUAAGGAGUGGAGCCAGUCAAAUUUGGAAAUAAAAUUUCAAGGUUAGAAUUCCAAUUAUGCCGGUGAUUCACUGCAUAAAACAUACGAGCCUCAGUUUCCUUUUUCAUCUGAAAUAAAAGGAGAUUGACUCCAGGAUCUUCCAAGGCUGCUAUUCCAAGAGCAGGUUCAUAAAGGUGAUUGUCAAGCUCCAGUGCAAAUGCUAAUAAUCUGGAAUUUUCCUUCAAACCAUCUGCCUAUGCAAAAUGCAACUGGGUCACACUGGAAAGGAGAGAGAGAGCUCUGAUUCAUAUGAGAAAUCAAGAAUCGAACCUUCGUAAGUUCCAUACUACGGAAACGUAGCUAAGCAUGCUCAUUUUCUAUUGGGAUUCUGGCCUGCUAUUUGAGUAUAUGCAGAGGGCAGUAUCCUAACUUUGGUAUAAUUCUACUAGUAGCUUGGUCUUCCAAAGCUUGCUCAAAGAAGAUAGCAUAUUUAAUCUACUAAAUUAUGUUUUAAUCAAGAUAGAACUCUAUAAAAAUAAUUCUGCAUGCAUAAAUAUAGCCAACUCGUCAUUUUUUUCUUUAAAGUGCCUGUGAGAAUGUCCAUGUCAUUUUGACCACUUGAGGCUGGUAGGCUACUCUUUAAUCUCCCACCAACAUCGUAGCCAAGGGUUGAAUUUUAUGGUUUCAAAGAAUCUGUUGCGGUGACCCUAAACCUUCUUAUGUUAUUUGUAAAAUUGAGCAACCCAUUAAAUAUCAAUUUAGAAAAAAAAUUAAGUACUUUGGAACGACUGGGUGAAGUAGAAUGGUUGAAAAAUCUUGGUAAAGGUAAGACAAUGAUACGAAAUUUAAAGAAAGGGGGGAAAAUGGGACUCUGCUCUUGUUGGUUUGCAAGUAUCUUUAAGUUCUUUUAGUUUUUCAAAAGCUAAAGGCAGAAAUUAUAGUUAUUGCUUUGUGUUUUGUGCGAGAAAAAUCAUGCCGAAAUCCAAUUGGUAAACUCCUAUUCCAAUAAUAUGACUUCAUAUUAAAAGAUUGCUGAGUAAAUAUGCAUUGUGUUUCUCUAUUUAUAUUUGUGAGUUAGACUACCCUUUACCUCUUUUCAGUUUUCUUCUGGAAAG